rnacentral:misc_RNA from 1 species
AACCAUUCUCACCUGCGGCUAGACCUGCGGAGGGAUCAUUACAAGAGUUGCAAAACUCCCUUCAACCAUUGUGAACGUUACCCCAGACCGUUGCUUCGGCGGGCGGCCCCGGGACAUCCCCCGGGGCCCCGCGGCCCGCACCCGGGCGCCCGCCGGAGGUCACGAACUCUUCUGGUACAUCGCGGCCUCUCUGAGUCUCUUGUACUAAACAAGUCAAAACUUUCAACAACGGAUCUCAGA